rnacentral:misc_RNA from 1 species
UAAUUCUGUUCAUCUCAUUCAUCUAGUUAUCUGCUCUCUUCUUUAUUCUCGUGUUUCAUGUCCGUGGAGGAACUUCAGCUUGCAAUUAGUCUUCUACACCUCAAUGUUUUCAUUAACCCAAAAGGAGUCGCAUAGAGAGCCAGCAACAGUUCAAGCUCUUCAUUUUUGGUUUUUGUGACUUGUUACUAAGCAGGUUGUUUGGCAGGGUUUCAAAAAGAUGCAAGGAGA